ACACGUAGGGGCCUGACGUUGUUCGGAAUCAUUGGGCGUAAAGGGCGCGCAGGCGGCCGUCCAAGUCCGGUGUUAAAUGGUCGGGCUCAACCCGAUCAUGCGCUGGAAACUGGGCGGCUGGAGUCCCGGAGGGGAUGCCGGAAUUCCAGGUGUAGGGGGGAAAUCUGUAGAUAUCUGGAAGAACACCGAUGGCGAAGGCAGGCAUCUGGCCGGAGACUGACGCUGAGGCGCGAAGGCGCGGGGAGCGAACAGGUUUAGAUACCCUGGUAGUCCGCGCAGUAAACGAUGCGCACCAGGUGUCGGGCGGCAGCGCCCGGUACCGGAGCAAACGCGAUGAGUGCGCCGCCUGGGGAGUAUGCCCGCAAGGGUGAAACUCAAAGGAAUUGACGGGG
rnacentral:rRNA from 1 species